rnacentral:rRNA from 1 species
UACGAAGGGGGCUAGCGUUGCUCGGAAUUAUUGGGCGUAAAGCGCACGUAGGCGGCUUUGUAAGUUAGAGGUGAAAGCCCAGAGCUCAACUCUGGAACUGCCUUUAAGACUGCAUCGCUUGAAUCCAGGAGAGGUGAGUGGAAUUCCGAGUGUAGAGGUGAAAUUCGUAGAUAUUCGGAAGAACACCAGUGGCGAAGGCGGCUCACUGGACUGGUAUUGACGCUGAGGUGCGAAAGCGUGGGGAGCAAACAGG